CAGUUUGGAUGGUGUUUGUAGGUUUUUGACAAUGAAGAAGUCAUGUAUAGAAGAGACUCUACAACUCCCCAUGAAUGGGUCUCCAGUCCGUCACAGGUUACUUCCCCAGCCCAGUCUGGUACCCAUUUCCAGCGUGUUAGACUAGGGUCAUGAAGAUGAA